rnacentral:lncRNA from 1 species
ACCAGAUAAACAAGACAUAGAAUCUUACAACACGCCUCGAACAACGCCGAUCCAGCACCAAAGUGAACUCAGUGGCACAAAAAUCAAAUGAGGAACAAGGGCCACCUGACGUUCGGCACUCGACAAAAGAGGCAAGCCAUUACAUACAAAGAAACUAUGACAACUAAGAACUGAUUCAACAACUUAGUUGAAAGUUGACAUCUGAUCAUGUUGG